UACGUAGGGUGCGAGCGUUGUCCGGAAUUAUUGGGCGUAAAGAGCUCGUAGGCGGUGUGUCGCGUCGGCCGUGAAAACCUGCAGCUUAACUGUGGGCGUGCGGUCGAUACGGGCAUCACUGGAGUUCGGCAGGGGAGACUGGAAUUCCUGGUGUAGCGGUGAAAUGCGCAGAUAUCAGGAGGAACACCGGUGGCGAAGGCGGGUCUCUGGGCCGAUACUGACGCUGAGGAGCGAAAGCCGUGGGGAGCGAACAGG
rnacentral:rRNA from 1 species